UACGUAGGGUGCAAGCGUUAAUCGGAAUUACUGGGCGUAAAGCGUGCGCAGGCGGUUCUAUAAGACAGAUGUGAAAUCCCCGGGCUCAACCUGGGAACUGCAUUUGUGACUGGCAGGCUAGAGUAUGGCAGAGGGGGGGUAGAAUUCCACGUGUAGCAGUGAAAUGCGUAGAGAUGUGGAGGAAUACCGAUGGCGAAGGCAGCCCCCCUGGGCCAAAUACUGACGCUCAUGCACGAAAAGCGUGGGGGAGCAAACGAGG
rnacentral:rRNA from 1 species